UCCAUGGCCAAGGAGGAUUUCAGCGAGUUGCCAGCCUUGGCGCCUACAAGGACUGGCGUGGAUCUCCUUGGAUGCCUCAGUGAGUCCAUUCCGGCGAUGUCUGUGUCGGUUGAGGAACAAUGUUUUUGCAGGGAGCGAGCAAGGAGGGAGGCCAUAUGACUACAACUCCCAGAACGCCCUGCUGAUGACACAAAAGUUGGGAGUGUUGUGAAGAGUCUGGAGGGUUGCCAGAGAUUACAGCGGGAAAUCUCUGACAGGGAUGCAGAACUGGGCUGAGAAGUGGCAGAUGGAGUUCAACCCAGGUGGCUUCCUGUUCCUGAUAUAUAUCCAAACUCAAGAUUAUGAAGAUACGAAAACAAUCACUCCCCAAUGUUUCAUCAACCAUAGCAUCCCACACCCCAGCCAGUAUGUUCAAAAUUUAAGUUAAAUCUAAAGUGGUUUUUGAAUUAUUCUGAACGUUACUUCUGAUUGUGUCAAGCAGGACUGCUGUAUCUAUAUAACACCAAAUCAGAAAUAAACAUAAGACCAUAAUGUUAUGAAUGUACCACAGCUCUGAGGGGCCGAAGGGGCGGGAGCAGCCCCUUCCUUCCGGAGAAUCGCAAGAGCACUAUUAAUUCGGGUCUCGGACCCAGGCAAAUGAGAGACAAUGUAACGGUUUUGGCCAUGGCUCUUAGAGACACCUGUGCUAAGGGACACUCUGCUACGUGACAGCUACCACGGAUAUGGACACCCUUGGGCAAUGUGGGGGUAGGGAUCGCAUCACCCUACUUUGAUGGACAUCUACAACUCUGCAAGUCAAGAUAAAAGGGGACUGCAAAAGGCGGUACCCCAGAGAGAGAUACACCAGAAGGACUCGAUCGCCCAACGCUCCCGUGAUAGCUGGAAGCCAGUCAAAAGCCACGUGCGCUCCGUAACUUCUCUGCCUGGGGAGCUGGUGGCUGAUAAUACCGAGAAGGACUUCAAACUAAUAACGGGGAAACAACGCUCCCCUGAUUCAACGGAGUUGCUUCGUCAAAGACCCGGGCAAGUUUUUCCGUUUCUCCUCACUCUCUCUGAAACACGUGAAACCCAGCGAUUCCCCAAAAAAGACUGAAGGCUGCAGACUUCUGAGUGACUUUUAUAUUUCCAACGGACAAUAUAUUAUCCCCUAGACAACAGUCGAGAUUAUUUCUUAAUGAUGAUUAUUGCUAUACCCGCGCUUUAGAUUGAGUUUUGCCGAUGUAUAUGUUCUGAAUGUUUGGUUUAACCUUAAUUUUGUGCCCCCUUUAUGAAUAAAACGUUCGAAAAUAGUGCCAUCAGACUCCAACGGACCUCUCUAUCUUUGCUGGUGAGUUAUCCAGUUACGGGAUACGUAACAACGUGGGGUUUCUUGUCCGGGAUUUGAAACCAAAUUGGGAGGCCAGUGAAUCGGGCUUGUAGUCCAAAACUUGAAUCUGGUUAUGCGGGUAGCCAGAUGGGAAACCAGCAAAGAUAGACGUGGGUGAAUUUAUGAAAAACCCAACUGUGAGGCGGCCACCAAAUCAGAAUUGUUAAAUUUGGCGAAGGGGUUGAACCUGAGGUCGUCCAUGAAAAAGCGGGAGGUGCGAAGGGCCACAACCCAGUAGUACAUUGGGAAGAAGGUGUUUGAAGCUGAGGUAUUGGGAGAUAUCCCUGAAAAGGUACCAUCAAUUUGGACGGUUCAGUUAGAGAUAGAGAAAUUAAGGCUGGAACAUGAAAUUAAGUUAAAAGAGCUGGAAGCGGCUGAGAGAGAGAAAGAAAGGCAAAGACAGCAUGAAAUUCACCUAAAGAGCUAGAAGCAGUCGAGAAUGAGAAACGGAGGCAACUUGACUGGGAGAUGGAGAAGAUAAGGAACGACCGAAGAGAUCAAGAGUUAGACCGAGCGGAGCGGUUUAAUGUUAGUAGGGAGUUGAGAUUGGUACCCCCAUUCGAGGAGACAGAUGUCGAUAGUUAUUUCUUGUUUUUUGAAAAGGUGGCAGUAAAUCAGAAGUGGCCAAAAGAGCAGUGGGUGGCGUUGUUACAAAGUGUGUUAAAGGGGAAGGCCCAACGAGCAUAUGUGGCGUUAUCCCUGGAGGAGGGGGAAGCAAAGAAUUAUACUGAAGUAAAGGAGGACAUUCUCCGGGCUUACAAAUUGGUAUCCUUGCAUAGGGUCCUUCUAGAUUGUGAGUUGGUGUCGGGACCAGUGGAGCUGGGGGUCCUGCCGGAGUUGCCGGGGGAAGGCGUGGAUGUCCUUCUGGGGAACGACCUAGCGGGAGGGAAAAUGGGAACAGCCGUGAAGCUGACAACCCAGCCUGCGAGGAUUGAGGCCCCUCCCUCCGAUCUGAAGAUAUACCCCGCCUGCGCGGUCACUCGCAGCAUGUCGAAAAAGACAGCUGAGAGAGAGCAGUCUAAAUCUGGCCGGUUUUGAUUUGGCCGACACGUUUUUACCGACUCUGUACCAGCGAGGGUUCGAGGAAGGUAAACCGGAGAGUAAGGAGGGGGGAGAGAGUAAACAGGGGGAGGUAGACCUGCCCUUAGCCAGACGAGAGUUUGUACGGGAACAGGAAAGUGACGAGGAGCUGAUAGCCUUGAGAGAGUUGGUUCUUUCGGAGACCGAGGUUGAAACCGAGCCCGAAGGUUACUACCUGAAGUAACCAUCAUCAACAGGUAGUAAGUAACUUGUUGAUGAGGAAGUGGAGGCCCCCCAAGGUGUCGGUCGAUGAGGACUGGGCGGUGGUACAUCAGAUAGUAGUCCCGAAAGCGUAUUGGGACGAAAUUCUGAACUUAGCUCAUAAGGGACCGUUAGGUGGGCAUCUGGGAAUAACGAAGACAGUGGAUCGGGUUCAAAGUGAGUUCUAUUGGCCAAACAUGAGAAAAGAGAUUACUGAAUAUUGUAAAAGGUGUCAUACCUGCCAAAUGGUGGGUAAGCCGAACCAAGUUAUCCCUAAGGCACCCCUCCGACCCAUCCCCGCGUGCGAGGAGCCUUUCUCCCGAAUCAUUGUGGAUUUUGUGGGACCGCUACCUAAAACUGGGAGGGGGCUGCAGUAUAUCAUGACCAUGAUGUGUGCCGCUACACGAUUUCCAGAGGCUGUGCCUCUGGGUAAUAUUAGGACCGCUGUGGUGGUGAGGGCCCUCAUCAGUUUCUUUACCACAGUGGGGCUGCCUAAGGAGAUACAGUCACAUCUAACGCAUUUCGGCAGAUGAUGACCCAGCUAGGGAUCAAACAAAUUCUAGCCUCCGUGUACCACCCGGGUACAAGGGGCGUUGGAAAGGUUCCACGCUACACUAAAGACCAUGCUUAAAACUUAUUGUCAGGAGAACGUUCGAGACUGGGAUGAGGCUUUACCCCUUCUGUUAUUUGCCGUCAGGGAUACAGUCCAGUGCUCACUGGGGUUCAGUCCGUUUGAGCUCAUUUUCGGUCACAGACCCAGGGGCCCUCUAACCCUCCUGAGAGAAAAGUGGUCCAGCCCGACCGUUCAAGUCAGCGUGAUCGACUAUGUUCUGAAAUUCCGGGAGAGGCUGCAUAAAGUACUCGCCUUGGCAAAGGAAAACCUUAAAGAAUCCCAGGAAAAAAAUGAGCUAGUGGUAUAACCCGAGAGCGAGAGAACGAGAGUUUUACGUAGGCGACAAGGUUUUGGUCCUAUUUCCGGUAGUUAACCAUCCCCUUCAGGCGAGGUUUCCAGGACCAUAUACAGAGCAUAAGAAAAUAGACUCGCUGAAUUACGUGAUUGAAACCCCCGAUCGGCGAAAGCCGACACAGUUAGUUCACGUGAACAUGAUGAAAAGGUACCAUGACACUACCCCCGCGGUGGUCGGUGCGGCCAUGAAAACCGAUCACAACCCGUUGGUAUUCCUGGCCAAUAUGGAAAAUAAAAACAGGAGGUUAUUGAGCUGGAGUCUGAUGCUGCUGGAAUUCGAUAUUAAGAUACAGCACGUUACGGGGAGUGAUAAUAUGCUAGCGGAUUGUUUAUCUCGAUGCUGAACUAAGUGUAUAACUCUGUAAUUAAAAGAAAAAGCUUGGGUAUUCUGUUAGAUUAAAAACCAUGUAAGACUCUGUACAACUCCGUUUUUAACCGCUGGUAAAAAACGUUUUUUUAGAGGGGAGGUGUUAUGAAUGUACCACGGCUCUGAGGGGCCGAAGGGGCGGGAGCAGCCCCCUCCUUCCGGAGAAUCGCAAGAGCACUAUUAAUUCGGGUCUCGGACCCAGGCAAAUGAGAGACAAUGUAACGGUUUUGGCCAUGGCUCUUAGAGACACCUGUGCUAAGGGACACUCUGCUACGUGACAGCUACCACGGAUAUGGACACCCUCGGGCAAUGUGGGGGUGGGGAUUGCAUCACCCUACUUUGAUGGACAUCUACAACUCUGCAAGUCAAGAUAAAAGGGGACUGCAAAAGGCGGUACCGCAGAGAGACGCACCAGAAGGACUCGAUCGCCCAACGCUCUCGUGAUAGCUGGAAGCCAGUCAAAAGCCACGUGUGCUCUGUAACUUCUCUGCCUGGGGAGCGGGUGGCUGAUAAUACCGAGAAGGACUUCAAACUAAUAACAGGGAAACAACGCUCCCCUGAUUUAAUGGAGUUGCUUCGUCAAAGACCCGGGCAAGUUUUGUCGUUUCUCCUCACUCUCUCUGAAACACGUGAAACCCAGCGAUUCCCCAAAAAAGACUGAAGCCUGCAGACUUCUGAGUGACUUUUAUAUUUCCAACGGACAAUAUAUUAUCCCCUAGACAACAGUCGAGAUUAUUUCUUAAUGAUGAUUAUUGCUAUACCCGCGCUUUAGAUUGAGUUUUGCUGAUGUAUAUGUUCUGAAUGUUUGGUUUAACCUUAAUUUUGUGCCCCCUUUAUGAAUAAAACGUUCGAAAAUAG